GGCAUGGGAAGCUUCCUGAGGCAUCUGUAAGAGCUGGCUGGACCCCUCACUUCCGUGCACCGUUACACCCUGAGCAGGAGGAUGGAAAAAAGCACACCUGGCAGUAGAAUUAGGAACAUGACGUCCGCGCCUGGACAGAACAGUUUACCAGUAAAUAGAGGCCAGCGUGAUGGGAGCAGAGAGGGAAACAGAGCCAGGCUCAAGAUGCGGCUGGAGAGAGAGGCAAGUGUCAGACCACAUGUGGCUGCCAAGCUGGGUUAUGGAGCGUGGACUUGACCCGGGGACCAAGGGAAGCUGUCAAAGCUGCAGCAGAGUUCAUUGCUCCCAUCCCGUGAAGCACACACCUCUGACACAGCAGGCAGGUCAACAGUCUACACUAAGCUGUUUACCUGCACCUCCGCCCAGACCGCGCUCCCAGAGGGCUGGGACCAGGUCUUUGCCGUCCUGCCGUCCUCACGGCCCGGCACCUGGUGGAGAGAUCAAGGCACAGAGAGGUUAAGUCACGUGCCCGAGACGCCCAGCUGUGAUGCUCGAAGUGGACACCCUACGCAGAGUCGGUGCGCCUGUGUUCUAGCGCUGUCUGGCCUCUGUCAAAGCCACACCCCUUCCCUCGGUUUGGAGCCACCCCACAUGGGCUCCCAAGUCAAUAUGCUGUAGCGGGCUCCACUCUGAGGUGCCCUCACUGGCAUUUCUUCCCUCUCCUGGAAGACAUCGCAGUUCGCCCGCCCCGAGCCCAUUCCGUGGGUAAUCCUGUCCAUUCACUCACCCUCAGCUACUAGCCAAGAGCCCCAACCUCGGGCUCAGUCCAGCGUUCUCUGCUGAGCUGCAAACCAGCACAUUCAGGGGUUCCUGGGCACUGCUGGGGCCCCUGGUCCUGAACCAGCGCACACUGGGAGGGGCUGGGUGACCUCUGGCGGGUCCAGGGUACUCAGGGCAGGUUAUCCAGACCAGAGGCAGAGGUGAAUGGACAUGCCAACAGGGUCCUCUCUGCAGAGCUUCUCAUAGCUACUGAGCAGCUACGCAGGGGAGACCGUCUUCUGACCUACCUGUGUCAGCAUGUCCCCGCUGGGUUCUUCAGAAGCAGAUGCUGAGUCAGAGUUUGGGAUGCAAGCUGUUUUCCGUGAGCGGAAGGGCAGGAAGCAGGACCAGGUGAAGGGAACAGGGGAACAGCAGUGUGGCCCAGUGAGGCCUCAGCCAAGCUGGCAGGGAGCUCGGGGGUGAGCACCCCCUCGGGUCGUCCCAUGUGGGGCCAAGGCACUCAGGUCUUCAUACCCCUACCGCCGUCAUUUACGGACGUGGAUGCCCAAGAAGGGGCGAGCCGGGUGGGGUGGCCCCUGCAGCCGAGUCUGACCCUGAAGGAGCUCACAGCUGGAAGCUGGCUGUUGACCACACCCCCCACCCCACGGCGGGGCAGCAAGCCCUUCCUGGAAGGGAGAUUGGAGCCUUGCAUCUCCCUGUCCACACAGCCUGCUCCUUCUGUCGCUCAGGUCCACUUCUCCGUACCUGUCUAGGCAGCAACUCCUCCGGGAUCCUCUGGACCAUUCUUCCUGAUGGGAUACCUAGGAGGGGAGGUUGGCGGGACACAGGCAAUCCUGGCUGCCGUUGGUCUCAGGGCUGCAAGAGCCAUCCUUAUACCAAGUUCACACCAUCCCCUGAGGUCCUUGCCAGGGUGCUAAAUGCCGUAUCUCAGGAGAGCUCAAAACAGCAGUGAAUUCUUCCUGUCCACUCUACGUCCCAGCCCCCUAGUCAAGCAUCCUCAGAUCCAGGCACACCCCUGGGGCUGGCGGUAUUUGCUGACUGGUUCUCGUGGCUCAUUUGGAACGUAGUCCUUUCUCUGUCGUUAGGCCCAGCACCUCCCCAGCUGGGUUUCAUGGCGACCUGAAGGCCUAGUGGCCAGAAUAGGCGGUGGGGCAGGUCCUGAUGGGGUGCAAGUCGUCCUGCCAGGGAGAGGCCUCUAUGUCGUUGCCUUCAAGCCGGGGAGGCCGUGCUAGCUCUUAAUAUGGGGGAGGGGGCGCAUCUGCAGAUUCAGAGGAGCCCGGGCUGUUGCAAUCUUUGAGGACCUUCACUCGAUGUCUCCAUCCACAGAUGCCUCCGUCCCACGUGUCGGGGCCCAGAGUUCUCUAACCAGGGCUCUGACUUUGGUCUAACAGACUAGCCGUGGUUGAAUAUCUCACCGGCUUUGAAAUGCAGCUGCUCUCACUAUUCAGUCCCAGGCCUGGCCUUCAUUUCCUGGGCUCGCCCUACAGCUCAUGAGUGUCUCUGUGCCCACCCCAACAGGCCACUGACUGUCACCCCUGACUUGCCAUUGCCAGCUCCCCCUCCGCUGUUCCCUAUUUUCUUACAGCACCAGCAGCCUUUCCAGCAUCUUCUCCUGACGGACGCCAUGUCCCCAACACCUGUGAGACUCCUGGUUUGUCGCACCCUCCAGGGCGUUCUCUCCCGGGCACACCACCCCAAUUUCCCGCCAGUGGGAGUUUUAAUGAUGCCACGUGUCCCAAGGGUUCUCUGUGCUCCGCCUACCACAGCGAUGGGGUCCUCACUGCCAGGCGGGCAGGCAGAACUCCAGCUGCCAAGCCGCGCCUCACCACCUGCUUUCCUGGACCACUCCCGACUGGCACGCUGGGUCUCUGGAAGCAGACGCCGACACAGAGCCCGAGUGUGAGGACGUACGAGGGUCAACACUUCUGAAGGAAGGUGAAAAGCAGGACUGGGCAGAGAGCAGGCAUCGCACUGCCGUGCAGGCCUGUGGGAGCCGGGACCAGCCCGAGGGAGCUCCGGAGGGAGGGCCGCCUGUCAGAGUUGUCCCACACGGCUCACGAUGGCAGGGGUUCAUACCCCAACUCACUCAGUCGCUGGAUCUGGAUCCAGGCUGCCCCAGGAAGGGUGUGACCUCGGGCUCUCUGAAACCGAGGCUGACCCAGACGGAGCUGGCAGCUGGGAGCUUCGGUGACCUCACUCCCCACAUCCGGGCAGCAGGAUCUGCCCUGAAGGGUGAUGAGGCAGUGCCUCUCUGUGUGACAAUGGCACAGUUUACCAUUCAUUCAUUCAACAAACAUUGGCUGCUAGGCACUGUUCUGGGUUCUGCAGACACAGGCGGUGUGGAGACAAGCCGUUCUCUCUCUCUCUCUCUCUCUCUUUCUCUCGUGGAGAUUUAACACACUUCUCCCCGUAAUAGCACGGCCUCGACGAUUAUUUCUUUAAACAGCUUUAGGGAGAUAUAACUACGUACCAUACAAUGCACCUAUUUAAAGUAUAGAAUUCAAUGGGUUUUAGUGUAGUCAUAUAGUUGCGCAAACAUCACCACAAUCAAUUUGAGAACAUUUUCAUCACCCCAAAAAGACACCCUAUAUAAAUUAGCAGUCACUCCACUUUUUCCCCCAACUACUGCACCCUCAUCCUAGGCAACCAGUAAUCUACUUCCAGUCCCUAUAGAUUUGCCUAUUCUGGACGGGUCACAUAAACGGAAUUAUGCACUGUGUGGUCUUUCAUUUAGCUUAGUGCUUUCAAGGUUCCUGAUGUCGUAGCGUGAAUGAACACUCCACUCAUUGUCAUGGUUGAAUAAUAACCCAGUGUGUGGAUAGAGCACAUUCUGUUGAUCAGUUGAAGGAUUGCUGACUGCUAACGAAGGACGCUGCUACGACCACUCGUGUACGAGUUUUUGCGUGGACAUAUGUGUUCAGACUCUUGCCUGGUCGUGGAAUUGCAGAGUCGUGUGAUAACUCUAUGUUUAACAUUUUGGGGAACUGCCAGACUCUUUUCCAAGGUGGCUGCACCAUUUGACAAUCCCACGAGCAGGGUAGGAGAGGUCCAGUUUCUCCCCAUCCUUGCCAACACUUGUUGUUGUCUGUCUACUUGAUCAAGGGCACCCAUUGGGUGUAAAGUUUUGUCUCGUUGUGGUUUUGAUUCACGUUUCCCUGAUGGCUGAUGAUGUGAGCAUCUUUUCCUGUGCUUAUUGGCAGCCUCAGUAAGUUUAGCUUGGAAUUAAAAUGGUCCAGUUCAGGGAUUUUCACACUUGCUUGAGCCUUAGAACUCUUUCUUCAGAUCAGAGUUUACAGGAAAAUCUAACACACAAAACAAAGAAACCCGGAGCUGGGGGUCCCUGUGAGUGAAGCGGGGAGAGGGACCCACAGCUGGAGCCGCUCUGCCCCACAUCUCCCCAGAGCCUGCCUUCAAGAGCGAGGCCCCUGACACUAUGAGAACUUGGGAAAGCAUAGUUUGAACCCACUAAUUAGGACAACAUCACAAGAUAACUGAUAAGACCAGGCGGUAAACACUGGAGCAUCUUAAGUGGAGCUUAUGAGAGACACCGAUCCUGAGCUCACGCUGCCGAGCCCCACAAGAGUUCCUGACCCAAAGAAACUGAGAGACAACAAACGCUUAUUGUUGCUUUAAAUCUCUAAGUUUUAGAGUAAUUUGUUGUGUAGCAAUAGAAAACAAAUGCACAAGAAUAGAGUACUAUGAAAAAAGAACAUUUAUAGAACAUAAAAGAGCUCUUGGAAAUUCCAUGCACAAAAGUGGAAAUAAUAAAUUCAAUAGAUAGUUGGAAAUAAAGUUGAGGAAAUGUUCCAGAAAGAAGAGCUAAAAGACAAUGAGAUGGGAAAUGGGAGAGAAAACAUUACCCCUGGAGCAUCAAGCUCAUGAAAAAUAGCAGUUCUUGUUAGAAAGAAGAGAGAAAACAGGGGUCAGAAAAUCCUUACUGAAAUAGUCCAAGAAAAUUUCUCCAAACUGAACUGAAAUACACUUCAGUUACCAAGUUCAAAGGGCACAGCAAGUGCCCACAACAAUGUCUGAAAAUAGAAAUACACUAAGGUACAUCAUGGUCAACUUUCAGAACACCGAGGAUAAAGAGACCCUACGAGCCUGUGUGAAUACACAGACAGAGGGACCUGUCCUAACGAUCAGAAAUGAAAAUAGCUUCAGACCCUCGUUGGUGGAGCAUAGCUUCCUCAGAAAGAAUAUGUGGAAGGUGCCCUUGCCACCUCCAAGGCCUUCAGAGGGUCCCUCGAGUGGUCUACUACCAGAGAGCCUUCCUGGAUACCACCUCUUUCUUCCAUGUUCAUGUGUCCCUUUCUCCAGAAGGACCUAAUUUUUCCCUUCUUUGAACUCCUCACAGAUCCAUUCAUUCAUUCAUUCAUUUCCUGUUGGUUUUUUAAAUUAAGGUUUAUUGAACAACCACUAUGCUCCAGACCCUGAGAUUUAAUAUGAGCAAUAAAGAGAAAUAAAAACUUCUCUUAUGGCACUUAUCUCAGACUGUGUUAUAUUAUAGUCGAUCAUAC
ensembl:lncRNA